GACGAACGCUGGCGGCGUGCUUAACACAUGCAAGUCGAAAGAAGUGGCGAACGGGUGAGUAACGCGUAAUCAACCUGCACUUAAGAGGGGGAUGACAGUUGGCAACGACAGAUAAUAACGCAUACUGAAGGAGGGGAUUGCGUCGGAUUAGCUCGUUGGAGGGGUAACGGCCCACCAAGGCGAUGAUCAGUCUCCGGUCUGAGAGGAUGAACGACAACAUGUGGAAGGAAACACCGCCCAGAGUCCUACGGGAGGCAGCCGUGGGGAAUCUUCCGCAAUGGACGAAAGUCUGACUGAGCAACGCCGCGUGAGGGAUGACGGCCUUCGGGUUGUAAAGCGCUGUUAAUCGGGACGCGGUACCGGAAGAGAAAGCCACGGCUAACUACGUGCCAGCAGCCGCGGUAAUAC
rnacentral:rRNA from 1 species